CUUUCUUUAUGGAUCUGUCAGAAGAUUGUCUUGUAUCCAUUAACGUAAUGAGUUGGGAUCCUGAAAGUCGAAUACUUUAGAUUGGUAGAAUACUAAAUUUAUUAAAGGGAAGCCCCACUUUUGGCGUAUGUACUUAUCUCUUAAGUGACUUGUUGAUGGUGCAAAAGUUUUUCUUCUAUAUCUUGUAAAAUAUGAUAGAUCUGCA